UAGAGUAUCUUUAUCGCGGUUUCCUAUCCGCGUAUUUAUGUCUUUUUGGUUUAAAAAAAAAAUAAAAAUUAGCUAAUUAAGCAAUAUACGUCCCUUAAUGAAGACACACAAGAAACGGGUUUCAGGGGGCACGUGUCAUUCAUUCAACAUCUCUCUCUCUCACAACCGUCUCGUCUUCUCUCUUUCUCUCAAGGCGAACCCGAAAGCGAAACGGUGACCUCUCGGCGACGAUGAUAUCUCCCUCUCGUCGACGGCAUCAGCCGGAGUCUCUAUCGAUGGAAUCAUCGCCUCUCUCUCGUCGACGAAUCCGCGUCUCCCUCGCUCUCCUCGACGAUUCCGCUUCUCUCUCUCUCUCGAUCUCGUCGACGAAUCCGUGUCUCCGUCGCUCUCCUCGACGACUCCGCCUCCCUCUCGAUCUCCACGAUCGCUCACGUAGAUCAAGUUUCACUCCACCUCUCUCUCCGGCCCGUGACUAUCCUCGACGAAAUCAAACCGAAAGAAAAAGCUAAGUUUUUUUUCCUUUUGUGUCUGAAUCAUUCGUUUUUAUAUUGAUUUGUUUGUUGUGUUGCAUGCGUCUCUUGUGUUUUUUAUGUCUCCUGAUUCAACUCGGUUAUGUCUCUGUCUUUGUUUGUUAAUCAUUCUUGCGAUAGUUUAUGUCUCUGUCUUUGUUUAUAUCGAUCACUUUAUAAUUUCAUGUAGUUUCGUUACAGAUAUCACAGUUUGCUAGUGUCUCAUACGUUUCAUGAAUUCACCUCUUUUAGCACCUCGUUCCAGUGGACUUCACAGGAAGAUCGAGUUGGUCAUCUCGUCUCCAUGAGAACAAUGCAAACUGCUGUUGGUGUUUUUGGUGGAGAUGGCUACACGGAUAUGAGCGAUGUACUACCUCUAAUGGUAGCAAAUGCAGGAAACAGCAACCGUGCAGCUAUAUCCAGUUCAGAAACAGGAAGAAGGUUAUGUCUGUGAGCAGCAAGACUUGUCACUGCCUCACCAUGCCAACAAGCAGUGCAGGUCCGUGUGCCAUUGAUGAUACAUACUUGUUGUACGUGAAACUCUUUAGGUUUAUGUCCGUGAAACUUUUUAGGUUUUUUCUUGUUGUCUUAUUUUCUUCUCAAAACACCUUAGAUGAAUCAAUUGAUGAUACAUUUGAUCA